GGCCAUCCGGCUACAGCUCGGCUCCCCGUUCGUGGGGACUGAGCCGGGGGCAGCGACCCCAUUAUGAGAGCUAAGUGGCGAAAGAAGCGUAUGCGCAGGCUGAAGCGCAAAAGGAGAAAGAUGAGGCAGAGGUCCAAGUAGACAUCUCCUGCAGUGCUACUGAAGCUGCAGAACAGAGCAUGGAAUGGAGGAACUUGGGAAGCUGACUUCCAGGCAAAGCCUGCUAUUUGAUGCUACUGUUAGAAGACUCCUUGCCUGUCUUCAGGAGUUUCCAUCUUGAAGCCUAGGAGCUGUGAUCUGUAAAAGGUGGUGCCCCUGAGCCUAACUAUUCUGGACUGGUUCUCUUCUUUGCAGCUUGAUGUAGUGACUGUAUACAAUAAAACCCAUUUUGGGAAUUCA